rnacentral:rRNA from 1 species
AAUGAACGUUGGCGGCGUGGAUUAGGCAUGCAAGUCGAACGAGAUCCGUAGCAAUACAGUGAAAGUGGCGAAAGGGAGAGUAAUACGUAGGUACCUGCCCUCGGGUCUGGGAUAGCUGCGGGAAACUGCAAUUAAUACCGGAUGACGUCUCUGGACCAAAGGUGUGAUUCCGCCAGGGGAUGGGCCUGCGUCCUAUCAGCUAGUUGGUGUGGUAAUGGCGCACCAAGGCUAAGACGGGUACGGGGUGUGAGAGCAUGCCCCCGCUCACUGGGACUGAGAUACUGCCCAGACACCUACGGGUGGCUGCAGUCGAGAAUCUUCCGCAAUGGGCGCAAGCCUGACGGAGCGACGCCGCGUGUGGGAUGAAGGCCUUCGGGUUGUAAACCACUGUCAGUGGGGAGCAAAUGCAUCAGGGUUCUCCCUGGUGUUUGAGCGAUCCGCAGAGGAAGCACAGGCUAAUUCCGUGCCAGCCGCCGCCGUAACAC